rnacentral:rRNA from 1 species
GACGAACGCUGGCGGCGUGCCUAAUACAUGCAAGUAGAACGCUGAAGGAGGAGCUUGCUCUUCUGGAUGAGUUGCGAACGGGUGAGUAACGCGUAGGUAACCUGCCUGGUAGCGGGGGAUAACUAUUGGAAACGAUAGCUAAUACCGCAUAACAGUAGAUGUUGCAUGACAUUUACUUAAAAGGUGCAAUUGCAUCACUACCAGAUGGACCUGCGUUGUAUUAGCUAGUUGGUGGGGUAACGGCUCACCAAGGCGACGAUACAUAGCCGACCUGAGAGGGUGAUCGGCCACACUGGGACUGAGACACGGCCCAGACUCCUACGGGAGGCAGCAGUAGGGAAUCUUCGGCAAUGGACGGAAGUCUGACCGAGAAACGCCGCGUGAGUGAAGAAGGUUUUCGGAUCGUAAAGCUCUGUUGUAAGAGAAGAACGAGUGUGAGAGUGGAAAGUUCACACCGUGACGGUAGCUUACCAGAAAGGGACGGCUAACUACGUG